rnacentral:misc_RNA from 1 species
GUGUAUGUUUUUUGUUUUUGUUUUCAAACUCAUUCGCGUGUGUAAAUGAAAAAUGACGCCGUCCGAAAGCCCCCCCUCGCGGGGCGACCUCCACGAACGACCAGCCAAAACCACAGGUGGACAUAAAAGGCGGUCAUGCAGUGAUGAUCCUUCCGCAGGUUCACCUACGGAAA